UUACGUAAGGUUGUCUUGUUGGGUUUAGGGGAAACUUAAAAUUUACGGCUAACGAAGGUGGUCAAAAUGGGGGUUGAGAACUGCGAUUUGGAUUUUAUUUUCGUUUCCAUAAUUUCGUCAAUUAUUACUCUCUUGUUAUAGUGGAAUUUAUUUCCAUUACUUAAAGAUGUUCAGUCCAACUAGUCAUUGUUUUCAUAUGGGAAAAAAGUUUCCCAAUAUUGCACUUUUUGUGAUAUUUAUAUUUUAUGCUUUAUAUAUAAAGAACAAAAGAAAUUGUAGUGGUACUUUAAAUUUUGUUCCCAGCGAAACGUCAUAUAAAUUUGUUCAGACCUAGAUUCAGCUUCAGCAAGAGUUCUGUUUCUAGGGAGAGGCCCCCCAUAUUCUGAUGUAUGUUUGUCUAAGCAUUAUUUUGUGCCUUUUUUUCCCUCCGUGUUAAUGCGUUGUAUUGAAGCUGCCAGUUUGCGUGUAUACUUUGGUGGAGAAUUUAUUGUAGGAGUAUGUGAAACUAUAUAUACGAGUUAGCGUUUGAAUACAGACUACCUGCACACAGGACCACAAAAUUUAAAAAAAUGUUUGUUGACAUAAUGGAUGUGAACAAUGUGAACUGUGUGUUUGUGCGUACGUAAUGACUUGCCAUUUUCAUGUCUUUAUAUUACCAGCUGUGAUAUUUUCAGUGUGCCUGUUUUUGUAACAAGUUUUAUGUAUAUUGACAAAUUUGUGCCCUGAAACAAAUUUUAUGUCCAUCUUUGUCAUGUUGUGCAGGUAGCAGUGCAAAGUACAGAAAUAAUAUAUCGGGUACUGACUGAGAAUUCGUUUGUGAAAUUUUGCUGUAUUUUCACAGCAACUGUUAAAUAGGUCCAAAUAUUCUCGGCACAUUGUUUUCGGGCACUUCACCUGUUGCUCUUCCUUCACAAUGAAAGACACGUUUCAGAACCAUUUAAAAUGACAGACUGGUAGGUGUGUGUGCGCGCACGUGAGAAGGGGGGGGAGUUCUUUCUGUGGGAAGUGUGCCUUUACUGUUGCUAUUGGAGUUGCUUUAUCUGUUCUGGCACACUCUUUAUGUAGCUGCUUAUGUUCAGCCAGUCCAGCAAGGGCUGUGUCCCACCAGUAGCUGCAGCACACUGGUAUGACUUUGCUUCAUUGUUGCUUGCAGUCCUCUACAUCACAAAAAGGUUCUGUCCCUAUGAUGGGGGGGCUGUGUAGAAAGUACAGAAACAAAUUGUGAAAAAUGCAACUGUGAACUAUGCUUCACUUGAGGUAUAUACAAGAAUAAUUAUGUGGUAAGAUGAAAUGUGAUAUGUGAGGCUAAAUAAUAGUGAAUGAUUUUUACUUGUAUUUUGAAAGAAUUAGAAUGAGAAAUACAUUAGACAUUCCUGUCUCACAUUUUGAAAGUUCCAAGUUUGGAUCUUGGUCUAGAGACUGUCUGUCCUGAUUGUGAUGUGUGUGGUUUUCUUACAGACUGAUGCUGAGAUACUAACUUAAAAUAA